GUAACUCUUCUGUGUGAUCAGACCAGACAACACCGGUUAUCAUUACUUGCACUACGUUUGGUAGGUACUGACAACUGCAUAAAAGGAACACCUCACAAGACUUGCCAUUUUGAAGAUGCUAUGACCGUCGUCUAGCCAUCACUAUUUGGCCCAUGUCAAAGUCACUCAGAUCUUUUUACUUGCCCAUUUUUCCUGCUGCCAACACACGAAAUUCAAAAAUUAACUGUUCA